AUACGGAGGGUGCAAGCGUUACUCGGAAUCACUGGGCGUAAAGCGCGCGCAGGCGGUCUUUUAAGUUGGAUGUGAAAGCCUACGGCUCAACCGUAGAACUGCAUCCAAAACUAUUAGACUAGAGUGUGGGAGAGGAAGAUGGAAUUAGUUGUGUAGGGGUAAAAUCCGUAGAGAUAACUAGGAAUACCAAAAGCGAAGGCGAUCUUCUGGAACAGUACUGACGCUGAGGCGCGAAAGCGUGGGGAGCAAACAGGAUUAGAAACCCCAGUAGUCC
rnacentral:rRNA from 1 species